rnacentral:rRNA from 1 species
GACGAACGCUGGCGGCGUGCUUAACACAUGCAAGUCGAACGAAGUGGCGAACGGGUGAGUAAUACGUGGGUAACCUGCCCUCCUUUUUGGGAUAAGCCUUGGAAACGGGGUCUACUACCGAAUAAAGGGGGCUGGGCUCGCGGCCUAUCCGCUUGUUGGUGGGGUGAUGGCCUACCAAGGCGGUGACGGGUAGCCGGCCUGAGAGGGUGACCGGACACAUUGGGACGGAGAUACGGCCCAGAGUCCGACGGGAGGAAGCAGGGGGGGAGAGUGCACAAUGGGCGAAAGCCUAAUGCAGCGACGCCGCGUGGGGGAUGAAGGCGUUGGGGUUGUAAACCUCGUUCGCUAUCGAAGGGGUAGGUGGAGAAGAAGCGCCGGCUAACUACGUGCCAGCCGCCGCGGUAAUUC